ensembl:misc_RNA Metazoa_SRP Metazoan signal recognition particle RNA
GCUGGGCAUGGUGACGCGUGCCGGUAGUCCCAGCUACUCGGGAGGCUGAGGUGGGAGGAUCUCUUGAGCCCAGGAGUUCUGGGCUGUGGUGCGGUAUGCCGAUCGGGUGUGUGCACUAAGUUUGGCAUCGAUAUGGUGAUCACCAGGAAGCAGGGGGCCACCAGGUUACCUAAGGAGGGGUGAACCAGCCCAGCUCGGAAACGGAGCAGGUCAAAACUCCCGUGCUGAUCAGUCAUGGGAUAGCGUCUGUGAAUAGCCUCUGCACUCCAGCCUGGGCAACAUAGCGAGUCCCAGUCUCUU